rnacentral:lncRNA from 1 species
GGUUUAUUUAUUAAAUGGGCCCAGCCACCAGCUACACCUGCUGUCUGGUAACCUGUCCUCCUGUUUCCGAGGUCAUGUCCAGCAUGGGAAGGAUACUUAAUUGGUCUUCAUCGGUGGCAGGCACCAUUCUUCACACUUCUCACCCUUUAUUGAAAUGGCAGUGAAAACCCACCUGCGGAAAGCACUGUUAAGGGACCGAAAAGGUUACAGGAGACCAGAGCUAUUGACUCUUAUUAUUAUUAUUUAAUUUUUUUUAACAUUUAUUUAUUUUUGAGACAGAGAGCCAGAGCAUGAGCAGGGGAGGAGCAGAGAGAGAGGGAGACAUAGAAUUUGAAGCAGGCUCCAGGCUCUAAGCUGUCAGCGCAGAGCCCGAUGCGGAGCUCGAACUGACGAACGGGGAGAUCAUGACCUGAGCCAAAGUCCGACGCUCAACCGACUGAGCCACCCAGGCGCCCCUGACUUUUAUUUUUAAAAUGAAGAUCUCUUUGGGGCGCCUGGGUGGCUCAGUCGGUUAAGCGCCCGACUUCGGCUCAGGUCGUGAUCUCACGGUUCCUGAGUUCCAGCCCAGGGUCGGACUCUGUGCUGACAGCUCAGAGCCUGGGGCCUGCUUCGGAUUCUGUGCCUCCCUCUCUUUCUGCCCAUUGUCCGCUCACACUCCGUCUCUCUCUGUUUCUCAAAAAUAAACACACGUUGAAAAAAAAUUAAAAUAAAAUAAAAUGAAGAUCUCUUUUACUUGAAGAAACUGAAGGAUCUUGGCAUCCUAGGAUGUGCUGUGAGCUGGAAAACAGUAGAAUUUUUGCCGGGGACUGGAAGAAAGAUGGUCACCAAAUAAGUAUUCCCUGACUUGCAGACCGAGUGAGCACAGCCAGGAUCUUCUUCAGCAGGAACAGGCUGCAGUUCGCCACUCUUCAACCCAGUCCUCACCUCUCCACAUUCAGUUUUGCUUCGUUGCUUAGGCGGUUUCUGGCCUGAUCGGUUUUGGGUUUUGUUUUUGGCAGGUGCGGUGGAAUCCCCCAGGGAGCUGAGCAGUUCGUGGAAUCUUCUUACCGGUACAGCUUUCACUGUUGCUUGUGUUACAGUGUGAGGUAAAGGCGAGAAGACAUUUCUCGAGCGCCCUGCUUACCUGCAACUUGACUCCUGAAGGUCAAGAGAGGCAGGUUUGCCCAGUUGUUGUGCGCGGCAUAGGGAGGACGUUUCAUCUGACAACAGGAAUGUAGCUUUUAUGCUAAUAAAAUGCUU